rnacentral:rRNA from 1 species
GUAGGGAAUCUUCCACAAUGGACGCAAGUCUGAUGGAGCAACGCCGCGUGAGUGAAGAAGGCUUUCGGGUCGUAAAACUCUGUUAUUGAAGAAGAACGUGUGUGACAGUAACUGGUCAUGCAGUGACGGUAUUCAAUCAGAAAGUCACGGCUAACUACGUGCCAGCAGCCGCGGUAAUACGUAGGUGGCAAGCGUUGUCCGGAUUUAUUGGGCGUAAAGCGAGUGCAGGCGGUCUUUUAAGUCUGAUGUGAAAGCCUUCGGCUUAACCGAAGAAGGGCAUCGGAAACUGGGAGACUUGAGUGCAGAAGAGGAGAGUGGAACUCCAUGUGUAGCGGUGAAAUGCGUAGAUAUAUGGAAGAACACCAGUGGCGAAGGCGGCUCUCUGGUCUGUAACUGACGCUGAGGCUCGAAAGCGUGGGUAGCAAACAGGAUUAGAUACCCUGGUAGUCCACGCC